GCGCAGCAUGGUGUUUGGCUGCACAUGUGCACUAGCCUCCUUAUAUUUCCCCUAUGAGGAAAUAUUGGAUUGGCUGAUAUCAUCAAGAGUGAUGCUCUCAGCCAAGUAGGCGAAGCGGAACGACGGAGUCAGGCGUGGAGAGGGCUGAAAGGUAAGUAAAUCUCACCUUUCAAACCCUCACAGACGCAGGUGACACAUCUAAUAAAACUAAAUAGGUAGUUUAAAACCGUAGCGUUAAGAAUAUCUAAAUUUAGGCAAAAGUAGUGGAAUCUGAAAAAUUCUC